GCCGGUGUAGCUCAGCGGCAGAGCGAUGUCCUUGUAAGGCAAGGCGCGCAGGUUCGAGUCCUGCCGCCGGCU
rnacentral:tRNA from 1 species